GAGGACAUCCUUCCGUGAGCGGUGGCUGGCUGGCCCGCGACCACGUGGACUGGGCGCCGCGUGGGGGCCGCUUCUGUGCGGCCGAGCGGGGAGGGAGAGUGACGUGGCCCGGGCCACCUCCGCGCCUAGUGGGAGCCGUGACGCCCCGGCCCCCACUCCUUCUCCCUGGGACUGUGCCCCCGGCUGUGGGACAAGCCCCCUCGCGCCUCGUGUCUGCCGGGCGCCGCCGGGACCGCGCGUUCUCCGGGGCCUCCGCGCCCGCGCUCCGGCCCUGGAGGCGGCGGCCUGUGAGCAUUCAGUACCGUUUUAUAGCGGAGCUCCGAGCGCGACACGCAGCCGGAGGCGACCCCGCCCAGGCUGAGCCCUCGGGACGCGCCCUGGUCGCCUGCCUCUCAGGGCCCCGCUCAGCCCUCUGGGUCCCGUGGCGGUGGCAGAGGCGGCAGCACCGAUGAAUCCGGCGCAGGGCUGUGUGACCUUCGAGGAUGUGUUCGUGUACUUCUCCCGGGAGGAGUGGGAGCUCCUUGAGGAGGCUCAGCGACUCCUGUACCGUGAUGUGAUGCUGGAGAACUUUGCGCUUGUGUCCUCACUGGGACUUGCGGUUUCCAGAUCUCAUGUAGUUACCCACAUGGGACCAGAGGGGAGCCCAGGGUGGCUGAGAAGGUAGACACAGGCUCAGCCACAGCAAAGAAGACCUGGAGGAGGCCUGGUUUUUGGCAUGGAGUGGAAGAUGAGGAUGCACCUUGUGAGCAGGGCUUUUCUGUAGGCGUGUCACAGAUGAGAACUCCCAGGAGGGGUCCUUCCAGCCAAAUGGCUCACCCCUGUGACACGUGUAGCCCAGUCUUGAGAGACAUUUUUGUACCUGGCUGAACACCAGGGAACGCCAUGUGGGCAGCACCCAUACACCACCAUGUGAAGCAUUUGGAACCACUUCUGGUUCAGUGUAAACCUUGACCAGAUGCAUAAGCAGCAGAGUUGAGAGUAAUUCCUCAGAAGGGAGAAGGGCCAGGCCUCAUUGGUGAAGAGCUGCAGAUCCCACGUGUGAGAGGCCUUCACUCACAGGGAGGAUCCCAAGAACUUCUUGGUCAGCUCUGGACUUGUCCAGCACCAGGCUCCUCACAGUGGGGAGAAGCCACACAGAGCCCUGAGUGUUGGGAGGCGUUUCUGUGCUGGCGUGACUAACAGGCCCAUUUGUGUAGUGGAUUCAUUAUGCAAGAAAGUACCACCUGAGGCCAUGAAACCUUCCACCUCUUGUCAGAAGGAGCCUUGUCAGAAGGAGCCUUGCUCCAGGGUCAGUUGCCUUGGAGUCUCAAGGGACUCCUGGUUGGGAUGAGCUGGUGAACAAGGAGGGCCAAAUGCAGGAAGGGCGAGAGACUCCCCCAAGGAGAGUCUCCCCAGGAGGACGAGCUCUGAACUCUGUGGUGUGGGGACAGAUGAUAAUCCCCACUCGAGAGUUUCACAGGAGCGAGGCUCCAGGAGAUGCUUUUCAUGAACAGAACUCACCUGGACCAGGUAAAGCUUCUGUGGUCCAUGCAGGGAAGGAUCUCCACAAGUGGAAGGAAUGCGGGAAAGGGUCGAACAAACGUUGGCCUGUUGUUCGACAUCAGCAGACCAUGCUGACGUGAAGCCCUGUGAUGGCAGUGCACACGAGAAAGGCUUUGUCACAUGGGUGGACCUCAGUCAACACAUGAGGAUUUACACUUGUCGAAGCCAUGUGAGUGCUUCCUGGGUGGGAAGGCCUUCAACUGCAGGUCAGACCUCAUGCAGCACCAGCACCAGCAGAUUCACACUGGGGAGAAGCCUUGUGAAUGCAAAGAAUGUGGGAAAGUCUCUUGUGACAGCUCUGCUUUUGUCCAAAAUAAUAUUUCCCACUCUAGAGAAAGUCUCUUUGCAUGCAAAACACAUGGGUGAACCUUUUUUGACAGCUGUUUUUUUCACUCAUCACAUGAGGGUUCUCACAGGAGAGAAGCCCUGAGUGCAGCAAAUGUGGAAAGGCUUUCAUUCACCCUUUCAUUUUUUUUUUUUUUUUGGUGAGGAAUGGUAGCUCAGAGCUAACACCUCUUGCUAAUCCUCCUCUUUUUUGCUGAGGAAGACUGGCCCCGAGCUAACAUCUGUGCACAUCUUCCUCUACUUUAUGUGGGAUGCCUGCCAUAACAUGCCUUGGUAAGCAGUGCAUAGGUCUGCGCCCAGGAUCCGAACCUGUGAACCCUGGGCUGCCAGAAAUGGAGAGCAGGAACUUGACCACUACACCACCAGAUCUGCCCCCACCUUUUCAUUUUUUUCCGGCAUAGUAGGAUCCACACUGGAGAAGAACCUUCUGAGUGUAAAGAAUAUCAGAGAGCAUUUGUGACUGCUCUUCCCUAACUCCUCAACACCCGAGGAGUCACACUGGGAAGAAACCCUGCAAAUAUAGUGAAUGGGCAGGCCCUCAGCCUUCGUUCAUCCCUCACUCGGCCUCGGAGUCUUCAUACUUCAUACUCGGAGUCUCUUACACUUUGUAGUGAAUGUAGGCUACAUGAGAAAGCCUUUUGCAAGUGGGUUUAUGUCAGUCAACAUCCGAGAACUCAUACUGGGGAAAGACCUUUUGAAUGUAACUCCUGAGGAAAAUCUUUUGGCCGUAGGAAAUGUCUUACUAGGCACCUGAGAAAUUAUACCAAAGAGAAACCCCAUAAGUGUCAU